CACUCAGAGAGCACCACAGAGAGAGACAGCAGCAGCAAACCAAAGACCGCACUACUACUGUCCCCCUCUCCACCUCUUCUCUCCACUACUACUGUCCCCCUCUCCACCUCUUCUCUCCACUACUACUGUCCCCCUCUCCACCUCUUCUCCACUUCUUCUCUCUCUGUGUCUCCCUUGUUCAUCUUGUCAGGUCAGUGUGGAUGUGAGAUGGGUUGUGGAUAUUCCUCAACGACCAGCAUGGCUGGAGGAGGUCCAGCCGAAGCCUCCAAAGAAGAAGUCACAGAGGAGUCUGCACAAGAAGAAGAAAAAAGGAUGAACUAUGGAGGUGUGUAUGUGGGACUACCAGCAGACCUGAGCAUUAUGCCUCCUAUCCAGAUGGGAACACACCAAGAUGAGUGAAGCAUCAUUGAAACACCUUUCACUAAAGGUAUGAUGUCAACAGCCCCAGUCUCAAUAUCCUAUGUUAAACUCUCUGCCUCAAUCUCCUAUGUUAAACUCUCUGCCUCAAUCUCAGAAGUUCAUCUUUUGGGACUCUCACACCCACUACAGAGAGAGAGAGAACCUUCAGGAUAAUGAUGAUGCCAGCAAGAAUGAAGGAAUGAAUUGUUCUCUUUGAUCUCUGAUUGGCUCCAUGGGACCCAGUAGAACCCCUGGGGGACCAAUCAUCUCCCUCUCUCGUGCCAUAGGAACUGAACUGGGAUCAGUUUCUAAGGUGAGUAAUCAGACAAUGGGUCAUAUGCUCACCAUGGAUGUGACUGCUCAGGAAUCAGCGUUGUGUUUAAUAGGCACAAAACAGAAGAAAAAAGUCUAAAACUAAAUGAAAGGGAGAGGUACUUGUCCAAUAAGAAAUACUUGUUUUCAUUUGGGUUACACAACAUUUGAAAACAGGCACCCUAAUGAACACGACCCAGGUCAAAGGGCAUCACGGAUGUUGGAGUCGGCAUUCACCACUCAGGAUCAUGAGACAAGACAACCUUCUACUCAGAACUAAAUGUCAGACGGGAUCAGAUAGGCCUAUUCAGAUCUCAGCAAUACCAGGAAACAAAACAAGACCUCUCUCAGAACUCCUUUUCAAAUAUUUCUUGAUUUUCUCUCUCUGUCUCUGAGUCAAUAGUUCUCAGAAAUUCUCUCAAUAGGAGCUGGAUCAAAUGUUCCCCAUUGUA